rnacentral:rRNA from 1 species
CCUACGGGUGGCAGCAGUGGGGAAUAUUGGGCAAUGGAGGAAACUCUGACCCAGCAACGCCGCGUAAAGCCCUGUCAGCAGGGAAGAAAAUGACGGUACCUGAAGAAGAAGCCCCGGCUAACUACGUGCCAGCAGCCGCGGUAAUACGUAGGGGGCAAGCGUUAUCCGGAUUUACUGGGUGUAAAGGGGGCGGAGACGGCGAUGCAAGCCAGGAGUGAAAGCCCGGGGCCCAACCCCGGGACUGCUCUUGGAACUGCGUGGCUGGAGUGCAGGAGGGGCAGGCGGAAUUCCUGGUGUAGCGGUGAAAUGCGUAGAUAGCAGGAGGAACACCGGUGGCGAAGGCGGCCUGCUGGACUGCAACUGACGUUGAGGCCCGAAAGCAUGGGGAGCAAACAGGAUUAGAUACCCGAGUAGUC